GAAAAAUAAAAAGAAACUCAUAAGUUGCUGACAGAAGUAAAAUUGAUAAAAUCCCUUGGAGGGUAAUUUGACCAUAUCCAACCUAGUAAUGAAUGAUAUAACCCCAGAUAAAUUCUUCCCAAAGUUGCCCUAGAUGUCAAGGCUCUUCGUUGUAGCACUGAUAGCAGAGAAAAAUUGGAUCACACGUAAUGUCCACCAGUAGGAAAAAAAAAAAAUCAUGAUGUUCCUCUGAUAAGACAAAUGAAUCACUAAAAUAAGUGAACUUGAUUUAUAUAUAGCAAUAUAAUGUAAGUGAAUGAGGAAACAAAUUGCAAUAAUAUAUUUACAGAUGAAUAUUUUUUAAGUUGGAUUCUUCAGUUAUUGAAAUAAAAUUCAUAUGACAAUCACCUCACACUGGUUAGGAUGGAUGCUAUCAAGACAACAGGAAAUAACAGGUAUGAGUGAAGAUACAGAGAAAUUGGAACACUUUUGCUUUGGAUUCCAACUAAAGAUAGUCCUGAAUUUAUAAUGAUUAUAAUAGUCCCUAACUUAUAAGAUUGUUUUUUAACUUUAUGAUGAUAUAAGCCAGUUACAGUGGCUUGUAAUUCCAGAAGGUUGGGAGGCUGAGAUAGGAGGAUCAUAUAUUCAAAGCCAGCAACUUAGCGAGACCCUGUCUCAAAAAAUAAAAAGGGCUGGGAUGUAUGUGUGAUUGAGGGCCCUGGGUUUAAUCCCUAGUACCAAAAUAAAUUUUAAAAAAUUUAGAAAGGUAUUAAAGUGAUUCACAUUCAGGGCAAACUACACAUCUUUCUCCCUAUGAGGUCCUUGCUUAGCAUCCGGGCGGCCAUCUUAAGUGACAGCCGCCAUUUUAAGGAAAAAGUUUCACUUUCCUGCCCAAGGGCCUUUCUGAGAAAGGCUCACCACGCCCUGACACCACCCCAACCCCUAAUCUCCCACCCAGCUCUGAUUCCUGAUCCUCCCCCAUCAAAGUCCCAGAACCCAAGCCUGUUUUGCCCCUCUCUCUGCUACAGAGAGAUGGCCUUUAUGUGUCAGCUCUGAUAAGUAAACUCUCGUGUCUAACUCUGCCUGGCCUCCGUCUUUCAUUUUUCACUUACCAGUCUCUCAUUCUUUACUUUCCCUUCACACCCCUGUACUGGGGAUUGAACUCAGGGGCACUUGACCACUGAACCAUAUCCCUAGCCCUAUUUUAUAUUUUUCUUUAGAGAUAGGGUCUCACUGACUUGCUUAGCGCCUUGCUAUUGCCGAGGAUGGCUUUGAACUCAUGAUCCUCCUUCCUGCCUCAGUCUCCUCAGCCACUGGGAUUACAGGCUUACGCCACCGCGCCUGGCUCUUUUUUAUUUUUUUGAGACAGGGUCUCACAAAGUUGCUCAGGCUGGUGUCAAAUCGGCAGUCCUCCUACAUCAGCUUCCCGAGUUGCUGAGAUUAUAGGCGUGUGCCACCACACCUGACUGCAUUUUGAAUUUGGGUCUUUUCCCAGACUAGUGAUAAGCAAGAGGAUACUCUCACGAUGCCAGGAGGUGACAGUGAACCCCAACUCCCAGUCAACUGCAUGAUCACCUGGGGAAACAACCAAUUCUCUUCAAUCCAGUUUUGCUAAGCUAUAGCCUAAGUAGAUUAGGUGUAUAAAACACAUUUUUUUCUUUAAAUACAUUUUUAAAAAUUUUUUUAGUUGUCAAUGGACCUUUAUUUUUUUAUUUUAUGUGAUGCUAGGCAAGUGCUCUAUCACUGAGCUACAACUCCAGCCCUAAAUACAUUUUUAUUACAUGUUUUCAAUUUGCAAUGGCUGCCUCAGGAGAUAACUAUUAUAAGUUGAGGAACCCCUGUGCUUGUACCCACACCAAUGGAAAUGUGAAUUGGUGCAGACACAGUGGAAAACAGAAUUGUGGUUUCUUUCUUUCUUUCUUUCUUUCUUUUUUGUACUGGGGAUGUUGCUAAAAGCUCAGUCCUUGUCCCUGAUGCCAAUAUAAUAAAGAGGACACGGCUUUGAGAAAAAGGAAAAAGACAGUUUAUUGCUUUGCUAGCAAAGGAGAAACACGGGGCAUUCCUGUCCCAAAGGCUGUGAUUCUUCCUAUCAGUAGUAACAGUUUUUUUUUUUUUUUAAGAGGUGUAAUUCAGAGAAAAUGAGAUUAGGGAGGAGAGAUCAGGAAGGAGAUCUGGGAAAAGAUCAGGGAGGAAAAGGUUAAGGAAAAGAAGAUCUGAGUCCGGCACUGUGGACCACGCCUGUGAUCCCAGUGGCUCAGGAGGCUGAGACAGGAGGAUCAGGAGUUCAAAGCCUGCCUCAGCAAACUCGAGGCACUAAGCAACUCAAUGAGACCCUGUCUCCAAAAUACAAAAUAAGGGCUGGGGAUAUGGCUCAGUGUUUGAGUGCCCCUGAAUUCAAACCCUGGUACCCCCCCAAAAAAAGAAGAUGAUCAGGGAGGAGAAGGUCAGGGAGAAGAAGUUUGGAAUAAAGGAAAAAAUAUGUAAAUUUCAAAGCAACAAUGGAUAUAGUCAAAGCAUCAAGUAAACCCAUUACAGGGAUUGAACCCAGGGAUGCUCUACCAUUGAACUACAUCCCCAAUCCUUUUUAAAUUUUUAUUUAUUCAUUUAUUUUUAUCCUGAAGAAUUGAAUCCCAGGGUGCUUUACCACUGAGCUACAUCCUCAGUCUUUAUUAUUUUUAUUUUGAUACAGGGUCUUCCUAAGUUGUUGAGAGUCUUGCUAAGUCCUUUUUUAAAUAUUUGUGUGUUUAUUUAAAUUUUUACUUUUAGAUGUUGAUGGACCUCUAUUUGUUCAUUUAUUUAUAUGUGGUGCUGAGAAUUGAACCUAGUGCCUCACACACGCUAGGCAAGUGCUCUACCACUGUUACCACUGAGCCACAAACCCAGCCCCCCCCCCCGCCCUUUUUUUAAAGUUUUUUCAGUCAGGGUCUUGCUAAGUUGCCCAGGCUGGCCUCAAACUGUGCUCAGUGGUAAAGUGCCACUGGGUUCAAUCCCUAGUAUAAAAGAAAGAAAAGAAGGAAGGGAAAGAAAAUGGGAUAUAUACACAUGAAGGAAUAUUAUGCAAUCUUAAAAAGGGCUGAGGGUGUAGCUCAAUGGUAAAGUGCUUGCCUAGCUUGUAUGAGGCCCUGGGGUUUUGCUCCAGAUACAUACAUAUCAUUUUGGUGGGGUAUUGGGGAUUUAACCCAGGAGCAAUUUACCACUGAGCUAUAUCAUAAGCCCUUUUUUUUUUUUUAGUUCUUUAUUUUGAGACAGGUUCUCACUGAGUUGCUUAGGGCCUCGUUUAGUUGCUGAUGCUGGCCUCAAACUUACAAUCCUGCCUUCUCAGCCUUGCCAAGUCCCUGGGAUUGCAGCAGUGUGCCACUGCAUCUGGC
rnacentral:lncRNA from 1 species